rnacentral:piRNA from 1 species
UGGGAUUAAAGGUGUGUAUCAAAAAGCCAUU